rnacentral:lncRNA from 10 species
CUGGGCGCCGCCGGGCGAGUGCAGGUAGCUUUUACUGAGACCCUUGCUUGAAGUAGGAGAUCCAGGCUCUGGAGAUGGAGCCGGGAGAAAUUAUAGCCUCAUGCACACAGGGCUUGCUCCAUGCUCCCUCCAACUGCCUCCCGACUCCUGAUGCCCACCCCGUCUAGAAAGCUCUUCCCUCCGACACACAACAUGCGUGUGGCUCUUCCCUUUGCUCCUUGCCUCUCUGCUGGAAUGCCCCUCAUCUCAGAGCUGUCCCUGCCUAACCCCCGCUCUCACUCCCUUCACCCGCUGUGAUUUUCUACAAAGCACAGAUCACCAUUGGACAUUGGCACGAGGUAGCCUUACUUGCUACUGGUGUGUGGGGGUACAUUUUGGCCAAGUGAAGCUCAAGACCCCUGCUCUGCAGCCAAGCAGAAGUGUUGAAGAGCUGCUAUACGAGACAUCUAAGGAAAGGGAGACAAGUGGGAGGUGAAGCUGUCCUGCAGCUGAGAGAGACCACUGGGAGAGUUGAGGGCCGCUGGAGGAGGAGCAGUGAGGGGCACUGCAUAGGUGUGCCCAGGAUUUGGAGGUCAGGGAAGUGAGGGAGAACCUGCAAAGGAGACUGAGAAGGCAGAGAAGCAAGAGAGGGCUGGAUCCUGGAAGCUGGUGAAGAAAUAAGGAUAACUUUGCCCACUCCUGACAGAGAAGUUGGAUGGAGACAGAAUUGGCCGUGGACUCAACUGUGUGGAGUCAAUUCUGGGGACCUUGGCAAGUGCUGCUCAAGUGAGUGCUGGUGUGAUCAGCAGAGAGCAGGAGGAGGUGAAGUGGAGACCUGGCACAGGCCAGCCUGGAGGGCUUCGCUUAGAUAGGGAGGCGGGAACUCCAUUAUUUAUAAAAGCAGAUGGCCAGCAUGCGCAAUGCCAUUUGCAACUGGGAUAUCCAUGGUGACGCUGUGAUUUACUCACAUGUGAUAAGAAUGUAGUUGACCCAGCGUAUGUAUGUAGAUUCAUCCUAAAUAAAUG